CUCUUUUUCUCUUUGAGCUCAAUUCCUCUCGGUCUCAAACGAUCUCUCUCGGCUUCAGAAGAUUCGUAUCUUUCUCCGACGGCCAAUAAGUAAUAAAGAAGAGUUGUUGGUGGUGAAUGACGGUGCUUGUUCUUUUAAAAAUAACUGCUUAUUCGGAUAACCUCGUCGCAUGUACUUCGGAGCUCCGAUAGUCGGAAUCAGGAUUGACUCCUCAUUGUAGAUUUGAUUGUGUCGUGCAUCCUUGGUUGAUUUUGGUUUUAACGGUGGCGUUUGUAGUUAUUGGCGAUGGGGAAAAUGAACCGGACUGGAAAUGGAGGGUUUGGAAGCACGGAGAUGGAAUGCAUUAGAAGUCACCAUAAUCAGGAGCCAGGGGAGAAUCAGUGCGCUUCUAAACUUGUUAAGCAUAUCAGAGCUCGUGUUCCUCUUGUUUCCUGUUUCAGCUGUGUCUCGAGAGACAAUCUCCAUGAUAACAAGUGAGGCAGUUCGUCGAUGAAGGUGAAGAUUUUUUCUUCAUUGAAUCAGUAGAACAUUUUCAGACCUACCAAUUUUAGCUUUGGUUGAUUGGUUAUGUGCUGAUUUGGACAAAUGGCUCUCGAGGAACUCAACUCAUGAUGUGUUUUUAUGAUACAAGUGUUCAUAGUUGCUUGCAAUGUGCUCUAAGCUUUAAUGUCAAAGUGCAUGGAUGGGUUGAAUAUAACUUUUGACGCAUCAGAAUGGAUUAGUCAAUGAAGAUAUUGUUAGACGCUGGCCUAAGGAUCUAGAGGGGGGUGAAUAGAUCUCACAGAGUUUUUCGGAAUUAUUUCGAAUUAAAGCGAAAGCGGUUCUGAAUCGACUUGCGUCUAUUCCGGACCGUUAUUGCAAGGGUCGUAUAUGUGACAAAACCACAAGAUAAUUGAGAUUAACGAUGAAGUGAUAUGU